CAAAUUUUUCACUAUCCAUCAUUUUCAUCCGUUGGAUGAUACUAUCUAACUAACCACUCAUUCAACACUAAAGGAGUAUUAUUAUCCUUAUCGUACAUCUCUUUAUCUAAGCGCCGAAACUCUAAUAGCACCAACGACUUUGUGUUUUUAGAAGUAUUCCAACCUAAUUUGAAUGAUUGUUAUAUUUGACACUUUGAUAUGUGUCAAAUUCGAACGGCUAGAAAAAUGUUUACUAAAAGUGUACAGAUAAAACACUCACAGAUUUUAGUCGUGACUUAUAUA
rnacentral:lncRNA from 1 species